GAUGAAGAACGUAGCGAAAUGCGAUAAGUAAUGUGAAUUGCAGAAUUCAGUGAAUCAUCGAAUCUUUGAACGCGCAUUGCGCCGGCCAGUAGUCUGGCGGGCAUGCCUGUCUGAGCGUCAUUUCAACCCUCAUGCCCCUAGGGCGUGGUGUUGGGGAUCGGCCAAAGCCCGCGAGGGACGGCCGGCCCCUAAAUCUAGUGGCGGACCCGUCGUGGCCUCCUCUGCGAAGUAGUGAUAUUCCGCAUCGGAGAGCGAUGAGCCCCUGCCGUUAAACCCCCAACUUUCCAAGGUUGACCUCAGAUCAGGUAGGAAUACCCGCUGAACUUAAGCAUAUCAAUAAGCGGAGGA
rnacentral:misc_RNA from 1 species